rnacentral:rRNA from 1 species
GUGAUAAGGUCCGUGUUCGAAAGGGAAACAGCCCAGACCACCUGCUAAGGUCCCAAAAUAUUUGUUAAGUGGAAAAGGAUGUGGAGUUGCCCAGACAAAUAGGAUGUUGGCUUAGAAGCAGCCAUGAUUUAACGAGUGCGUAAUAGCUCACUAUUCGAGUGACACUGCGGCGGAAAUGUAUCGGGUAUAAACAUUUUUCCGCAUCUGUGGUGGGUCCUUUGGACAAUGGUAUGAGAGCGAUCUCAGGGCG